rnacentral:rRNA from 1 species
GCUGGGCGCAGCCUGAUGCAGCCAUGCCGCGUGUGUGAAGAAGGCCUUCGGGUUGUAAAGCACUUUCAGCAGUGAGGAAGGUGGUGUCGUUAAUAGCGGCAUCGUUUGACGUUAGCUGCAGAAGAAGCACCGGCUAACUCCGUGCCAGCAGCCGCGGUAAUACGGAGGGUGCGAGCGUUAAUCGGAAUUACUGGGCGUAAAGCGCAUGCAGGUGGUUAGUUAAGUCAGAUGUGAAAGCCCGGGGCUCAACCUCGGAACUGCAUUUGAAACUGGCUGACUAGAGUACUGUAGAGGGGGGUAGAAUUUCAGGUGUAGCGGUGAAAUGCGUAGAGAUCUGAAGGAAUACCGGUGGCGAAGGCGGCCCCCUGGACAGAUACUGACACUCAGAUGCGAAAGCGUGGGGAGCAAACAGGAUUAGAUACCCUGGUAGUCCACGCCGUAAACGAUGUCUACUUGGAGGUUGUGGCCUUGAGCCGUGGCUUUCGGAGCUAACGCGUUAAGUAGACCGCCUGGGGAGUACGGUCGCAAGAUUAAAACUCAAAUGAAUUGACGGGGGCCCGCACAAGCGGUGGAGCAUGUGGUUUAAUUCGAUGCAACGCGAAGAACCUUACCUACUCUUGACAUCCACAGAACUUACCGGAGACGCUUUGGUGCCUUCGGGAACUGUGAGACAGGUGCUGCAUGGCUGUCGUCAGCUCGUGUUGUGAAAUGUUGGGUUAAGUCCCGCAACGAGCGCAACCCUUAUCCUUGUUUGCCAGCACUUCGGGUGGGAACUCCAGGGAGACUGCCGGUGAUAAACCGGAGGAAGGUGGGGACGACGUCAAGUCAUCAUGGCCCUUACGAGUAGGGCUACACACGUGCUACAAUGGCGCAUACAGAGGGCGGCCAACUUGCGAAAGUGAGCGAAUCCCAAAAAGUGCGUCGUAGUCCGGAUUGGAGUCUGCAACUCGACUCCAUGAAGUCGGAAUCGCUAGUAAUCGUGGAUCAGAAUGCCACGGUGAAUACGUUCCCGGGCCCUUGUACACACCGCCCGUCACACCAUGAGAAGUGG